UCAAUGUUAUAUCUGUGAAUUUAAUAUUGCAUUACAUUCUAAUUUUUUGAAUGUUUAAUGCCAUACCAUGAAUCUGAUUCAUAUGUUCAUGAGUACUGUGGAUUCAUAUGUUCAUGAGUACUGCGGAUUCAUAUGUUCAUGAGUACUGCAGAUUCAGAUUCAUAUGUUCAGGAGUACUGCGGAUUCAUAUGCUCAUGAGUACUGCGGAUUCAUAUGUUCAUGAGUACUGUGGAUUCAUAUGUUCAUGAGUACUGCGGAUUCAGAUUCAUAUGUUCAUGAGUACUGUGGAUUCAUAUGUUCAUGAGUACUGUGGAUCCAUAUGUUCAUGAGUACUGUGGAUUCAGAUUCAUAUGUUCAGGAGUACUGCGGAUUCAUAUGUUCAUGAGUACUGCGGAUUCAUAUGUUCAUGAGUACUGUGGAUUCAUAUGUUCAUGAGUACUGUGGAUUCAUAUGUUCAUGAGUACUGCGGAUCCAUAUGUUCAUGAGUACUGUGGAUUCGGAUUCAUAUGUUCGUGAGUACUGCGGAUACAUUAAUAUUUGUUGGCUACUAAUUUUUGUGGAUUUCAUGGGUACAGGUUAAUGACAAAUUUAAAUGGUCAACGGAAUGCAAUAUUUCUAUUGGCUUGUGCGCAGACUCUAGCAAAACAAUGAAAUUAAAUACCCACGAAAGCAUCACUUUUUCUCAAUCACUAAAAUUGAUACCAACAAAAAUAAAUGAAUCCACAGUAAUUAUACCAGGGCAAAAAUGCCACAUAUGUGUCACACAUGUACCUAAGAAUGCAUGUGUCACACAUGUCACAUGUGUGGUAUUUUUACGAUUAUAAUGGCACAGAUAACUUACAUUGAGUAUCAAUAGCUAUAGUUUAAGAAGGUUGUAAUUGGUGUUAAUUUAUUAAGCAUGAUUGAGGAUGCAUGAGGUAUUAAUGUGCUUUUAAGCUUUGAUUGAUUUUAGUGAGCUGGUUACUAACAACAGGUAUCUGUUUUUAUACUUACAAUUAUUUGAACUUUAGUAUAUUUUUUUAGAUGCUUUUACCAUGACUGAUAAUUUGCAAAUUGUCUCUUGUCAGUUCUUUAAUGCUCCAAAACUUACAUUGUAAUGGUACAUCAAUAAAAAAACAGAAACAAAUCCCUAACAUUGAACUGUUUUUACAUGCAUGUGCAAAGUCAGAUUUUAGGCAGAUAAGAAAUGUUGAAUACCAAAAAUAUCUCUAAACAUUGAUUUAGUAAAUUACAUCUUUUCACUGUCUUAAGCUAAAAUUAUCCUACAGAAUAUAUAUACUCCUGUCAGUGAAUUUUAGCAAGGUUUGUUCUAAAUCUUUAAAAAAAAUUUAAACGCCUAUUCUUAUCUGUAAAUGUACUUAAAGAAAUUGGAUGGUAAAAAUAAAAAAAAAACAACAACCACAUUCCAAUGUUUAUUCCAAUAUUUAUAGAUUCCAUUUUACACUUUACUUUUUUUUUGUAGAAUACGUUUAUAUAUUAUUUAUUUAUACCUACGCAUUAAUC
rnacentral:lncRNA from 1 species